rnacentral:rRNA from 1 species
GAUGAACGCUGGCGGCGUGCCUAAUACAUGCAAGUCGAGCGAACAGACGAGGAGCUUGCUCCUCUGACGUUAGCGGCGGACGGGUGAGUAACACGUGGAUAACCUACCUAUAAGACUGGGAUAACUUCGGGAAACCGGAUCUAAUACCGGAUAAUAUAUUGAACCGCAUGGUUCAAUAGUGAAAGACGGUUUUGCUGUCACUUAUAGAUGGAUCCGCGCCGCAUUAGCUAGUUGGUAAGGUAACGGCUUACCAAGGCAACGAUGCGUAGCCGACCUGAGAGGGUGAUCGGCCACACUGGAACUGAGACACGGUCCAGACUCCUACGGGAGGCAGCAGUAGGGAAUCUUCCGCAAUGGGCGAAAGCCUGACGGAGCAACGCCGCGUGAGUGAUGAAGGUCUUCGGAUCGUAAAACUCUGUUAUUAGGGAAGAACAAAUGUGUAAGUAAAUAUGCACGUCUUGACGGUACCUAAUCAGAAAGCCACGGCUAACUACGUG